rnacentral:lncRNA from 1 species
AGAAAAGCCCAGAGUAUAGGGCAUUAUAAUUGGCCCAGGCUGAAUGGAGCCGUUUAGAUCUACAGUGAGAAAGGCAGAAGCAAUCCUUACCUAUUAGUAUAUAUGAACAGUUACCGCUCCUAUCGAAGCCAGCUGAACCAUCACAUUCCUUAUACAGAGUGGGACAGCAUUGGCUGAGUUCUACUAGCAAAUGCCGGAGAUGUGGUUCCUGUUGGCCUUUUAACUGAUGUGAUGAAAUAAAGUCUUCCAUAAUUUGACA